AGAACGAACGCUGGCGGCAGGCCUCAAACAUGCAAGUCUAGGGGGCGUAGCAAUACGUCACCGGCGGACGGGUGCGUAACACGUGGGAAUGUACCUAUUGGUUCGGAACAACUCAGGGAAACUUGAGCUAAUACCGAAUGUGCCCGAAAGGGGAAAGAUUUAUCGCCAAUAGAUCAGCCCGCGUCCGAUUAGCUAGUUGGUGGGGUAAAGGCUCACCAAGGCGACGAUCGGUAGCUGUUCUGAGAGGAAGAUCAGCCACACUGGGACUGAGACACGGCCCAGACUCCUACGGGAGGCAGCAGUGGGGAAUAUUGCGCAAUGGGCGAAAGCCUGACGCAGCGACGCCGCGUGAGGGAUGACGGCCUUCGGGUUGUAAACCUCUUUCAGCUCUGACGAAGCGCAAGUGACGGUAGGAGCAGAAGAAGCACCGGCCAACUACGUGCCAGCAGCCGC
rnacentral:rRNA from 1 species